AUGUAUUUAUUGGGUACAUGAGAUGUGAUACAGGCAUGCAAUGUGAAAUAAGCACAUCAUGGAGAAUGAAAUAUCCAUCCCCUCAACCUUGGCGGAAAGGGUCGUAGACAUGGCGGCCAUCAGGAUGGAAAAACUGACAACCAUGCCUGCAGGUCUGAUAUAUGCAUCUGUAAGUGUACAUACAGUCAAAGAAGAGGAAUCCAAAAAGCAGCUAGUGAAACCAGAGCAGCUCCCCAUAUAUACUGCACCACCGCUUCAGUCUAAAUAUGUUGAAGAGCAGCCUGGUCAUUUACAAAUGGGCUUUGCUUCCAUCCAGACUGCAACUGGUUGUUAUAUUGGCUGGUGCAAGGGUGUUCAUGUCUUUGUGAAAAAUGGGAUAAUGGAUACAGCACAAUUUGGAAAAGACGCUUAUGUCUAUCUGAAGAAUCCUCCUCGAGACUUUCUUCCGAAAAUGGGAGUUAUUACAGUUUCAGGAUUGGUGGGCUUGGUUUCAGCGAGAAAAGGUUCCAAGUUUAAGAAAAUUACUUAUCCUCUGGGACUGGCCACUUUAGGAGCAACUGUUUGUUACUCAGUUCAGUCCAUAAUAAUUGCUAAGGUAACCGGGAAAAAGAUAUACGCUAUAAGCCAGCAAAUUUUUGGAGCAGUUAAAUCACUGUGGACAAAAAGCAGCAAAGAAGAGUCACUCCCUAAACAUAAAGAAAAAACUAAGCUAGGAUUCUCUGUUGAAAUAGAAGUACCUGCAAAAACAACUGACGUCUUGAAACACUCAGUGCCCUUGCCAACAGAACUCAACUCUGAAGCGAAAACCAAAUCAGAAUUCACUUCAGGUGCAACACAGUUUAUGCCUGACCCCAAGCUCAUGGAUCACGGGCAGUCCCACCCAGGAGAUAUAGAUAUGUACAGCACUAGAAGCUGUAGUAGACUGCAUACAGAGACUACAUAGAAAACUACAAGAUGUGUGACGUUGCAAAUAAUGAUGAAAAAAAUCAUGUAAUGGGUAACUGAUACAUAGAGUAUUACUUAAAUCAAGUUUUUCCCUUACAUAUCCAAAUGUGCAAUUUGAUAAAUUACAUAAGUGGUUAACAGACAAACUGAAUGCAAUGCAAACAAUAUUAAAUGAUUGAUGAGGAGACUUAGGUAGAAGUAUUAGCUUGCAUUUGAUGACCUUUAAGGG